rnacentral:rRNA from 1 species
CAUCAGGUGGGAUUACCCGCUGAACUUAAGCAUAUCAAUAAGCGGAGGAAAAGAAACUAACAAGGAUUCCCCUAGUAACGGCGAGUGAAGAGGGAAAAGCCCAAAUUUGUAAUCUGGCUCUUUUAGAGUCCGAGUUGUAAUUUUGAGAACUGUUUUCAGUGCUGGACCAUGUUUAAGUCUGUUGAAAAACAGCAUCAUUGAGGGUGAUAAUCCCGUUCAUGAUAUGGACUACCAGUACUUUAUGAUACAGUCUCUAAGAGUCGAGUUGUUUGGGAAUGCAGCUCAAAGUGGGUGGUAAAUUCCAUCUAAGGCUAAAUAUAGGUGAGAGACCGAUAGCAAACAAGUACCGUGAGGGAAAGAUGAAAAGAACUUUGGAAAGAGAGUUAACAGUACGUGAAAUUGCUGAAAGGGAAACAAUUGAAGUUAGCCUUGUUAUUGUCAGUUCAGCUCUUUUAGAGUGUAUUCUGAUGAUUAACGACCAACAUCAGUCUUUGAGUGCUGGAUAAGGGUUUUGGAAAUGUAGCAGUCUCGGCUGUGUUAUAGUCCAUUACUUUGAUACAGUGCUUGGGAUUGAGGAUCGCAGUAAGCCAUUUUAUGGUGGACCAAAUUUUUGGUCUUCUUACUGAGGAUGUUGGUGAAAUAGCUUUAAAUGACCCA